rnacentral:lncRNA from 1 species
GGCUCGCUCCCAUCGGAAAGCAAAACUGGGGAUAUACCACCAUGAAUGCGUUUGUUAUUGACACAGAUAUGGCCACUAAUGCGUCAAGGAGAAUGUUUACCGUGGGGAGACGUGCUCGACUUGUUUCCAUUGAGGUUCCUCUGGUGGCUGAAAUAACAAAAGAUUCCUGUCAUUAAGUUGCUCUUGGUCCCAACAUUAGGACGAAUUUGGGAAGAUGUCCAUCAGCAGGAUGCGUCAUUAUAUCAGGUAAAUAUGAAAACUGUGUGUAAAUAAUGUCUUAACUGUAUCUCAGUGUCACAGUUCACCCACUGUAUUCCCU